rnacentral:lncRNA from 1 species
UUGUGAGAUCUUUUCUUCUAGUCAUUGUAAACUUUGUUAAUUUUGAUGGGUGAAGAUAGUUGUAUUUAUAGACAAGUGUUCCCAUUUUAGUGAGAAUGUUGAAUGAAAUCAAUUUUUUUGGCUUCAAUUUCAUUCUGCCGCCUUUUCAAAUUUUGGUGUAGUGCACUAAGAUUUUUUUUUUUUUUCAUUAUGUCGCCUUUUCAAUUGAUGAAUUAGUUGAAUCCCCAAAAUUGAAGGGGGUAUAUUAUUGAAGGGCUUAAAUAAUUGAAGAGCUUAAUUAAUUCAAGGGCUUAAUCAAUUGAAUUUAAUUAAAGUU